CCUACGGGUGGCAGCAGUGAGGAAUAUUGGUCAAUGGCCGUAAGGCUGAACCAGCCAAGUCGCGUUAAGGAAGAAGGAUCUAUGGUUUGUAAACCUCUUUUAUAGGGGAAUAAAGGUAUCCACGUGUGGAUAUUUGCAUGUACCCUAUGAAUAAGCAUCGGCUAACUCCGUGCCAGCCGCCGCGGUAAUACGGAGGAUCCGAACGUUAUCCGGAUUUUUUGGGUUUAAAGGGUGCGUAGGUUGUUUUUUAAGUCAGGUGUGAAAGUUUGGGGCUCAACCAUAAAAUUGCCGUUGAAACUGGAAGACUUGAGUGUGUUUGAGGUAUGCGGAAUGCGGGGUGUAGCGGUGAAAUGCAUAGAUAUCACGCAGAACUCCGAUUGCGAAGGCAGCUUACUAAGGCAUAACUGACACUGAAGCACGAAAGCGUGGGGAUCAAACAGGAUUAGAUACCCUGGUAGUC
rnacentral:rRNA from 1 species